UAGGGAAUCUUCCGCAAUGGGCGAAAGCCUGACGGAGCAACGCCGCGUGAGUGAUGAAGGUCUUCGGAUCGUAAAACUCUGUUAUUAGGGAAGAACAAAUGUGUAAGUAACUAUGCACGUCUUGACGGUACCUAAUCAGAAAGCCACGGCUAACUACGUGCCAGCAGCCGCGGUAAUACGUAGGUGGCAAGCGUUAUCCGGAAUUAUUGGGCGUAAAGAGCGCGUAGGCGGGUUUUUAAGUCUGAUGUGAAAGCCCACGGCUCAACCGUGGGGGGUCAUUGGAAACUGGAGAACUUGAGUGCAGAAGAGGAAAGUGGAAUUCCAUGUGUGGCGGUGAAAUGCGCAGAGAUAUGGAGGAACACCAGUGGCGAAGGCGACUUUUUGGUCUGUAACUGACGCUGAUGUGCGAAAGCGUGGGGAUCAAACAGG
rnacentral:rRNA from 1 species